CGAAAAAAAGAUGUCAGACGCAAUGAAUGUUCCUACCAGGAAUUCGUAUAUUUUACUUCAUACCAUUAGUAUGUUUGUUUUUAUUGUCAUACCUAACAACUGUGAUGUGCGCACUUUGUCUUUUGGAGACGAAGCGAUUCGGAGUUGACCUUAAAAUUAUAUGCAGUACAAUCAUUCAUCAUAAACAAAUCGGAGAUAAGUAUUCGUUUUUUUUACAUCAUUACAUCAGUCACCUCGGUCGGGAAACUAUUUUCAUAUUCCCGCCAAGGAUAAACAUCAGUUAUAUUCUAUACAUUACAACACUUUUGACCUUUUUCCUUGUCUUUACAGCUGGCAUGAUCCCAGACUCGUAAUACUUAUUUACCAAAAACCAUCCAAGUUAUGGGAUUGAAGGUAACGGCGAGUUUGUCGCUAAGAUUGGAAUCUUUCUUCAACACAUCAUCGACCGUAAAAAACUUAAGGGACACGAGAGAACAAAAUACGGAUGAAACGUGCUAAUUCUACCGUCA